rnacentral:rRNA from 1 species
AUUGAACGCUGGCGGCAUGCCUUACACAUGCAAGUCGAACGGUAACAGGUCUUCGGAUGCUGACGAGUGGCGAACGGGUGAGUAAUACAUCGGAACGUGCCUAGUAGUGGGGGAUAACUACUCGAAAGAGUGGCUAAUACCGCAUGAGAUCUACGGAUGAAAGCAGGGGAUAGCAAGACCUUGUGCUACUAGAGCGGCCGAUGGAAGAUUAGGUAGUUGGUGGGAUAAAAGCUUACCAAGCCGACGAUCUGUAGCUGGUCUGAGAGGACGAUCAGCCACACUGGGACUGAGACACGGCCCAGACUCCUACGGGAGGCAGCAGUGGGGAAUUUUGGACAAUGGGCGCAAGCCUGAUCCAGCAAUGCCGCGUGCAGGAUGAAGGCCUUCGGGUUGUAAACUGCUUUUGUACGGAACGAAAAGCCCUGGGUUAAUACCCUGGGGUCAUGACGGUACCGUAAGAAUAAGCACCGGCUAACUACGUGCCAGCCGCCGCAGUAACAC